rnacentral:lncRNA from 1 species
CAAUUCAAGUAUUUUGUCACCUUUAUUGAUGAAAAGUCCAAAUACACCUGGCUAACACUUUUACCUUCCAAAGGCCGUGUUUUUGAGUCUUUCUCAAAUUUUUACAGCUUCAUCUCAACUCAAUACAAUGCUAAAAUCAAGAGCUUGCAGACUGACAAUGGAAGUGAAUACACCAGCAAUGAGUUUAAAGCCUUCACAUCUAUGCAUGGGAUUGUACACCAGAUAUCUUGUCCUUACACUCCCCAACAAAAUAGUGUAGCUAAGCACAAGAACCGUCACCUUAUGGAAGUUGCAAGAACUAUUGUGUUCCACAAAAAUGUUCCAAAACACUUCUGGGGUGAUGCUGUUUCAGUCGCCUGCUAUCUAAUCAACCAACUUCCAACCAAAUGUCGUAAGAACAUAUUACCUUAUGAGGUACUCAACAAAACUAAACCACCUUUAGAUUUUCUAAAAGUAUUUGAGUGUGUUUUCUAUGUCCAUGUUCCAGAUGACCAAAGGAACAAGUUUCAGCCUAAUAUUGUAGAGUGCAUAUUCAUUGGGUACUCCACAACUCAGAAAGGUUACAAGUGCUAUAACCUUUGUGUCUCGAUAUGUCAAAUUUGAUGAAGACAAAGGCUUCUAUGAAGAAAAUGACUGGGACAUGCUGAAGGACUUGACUACCUCUCACUCUGAUCUUGCUUCCAACCUGCGAUAUCUCCUUGAAAAUCUCAAACUUCCUAAGAGAACAGAAGCUACUCCACAAUCCGGAGAAGAACCUGACAAUGGUAAAACAGAUAUGGACAUUGAUCAAGAUAAAUCAGGAAAGGGACACAGAAGCAGUAACAGGUCAUGAAGACAGCUAGACCCAGAGUGACGCAAAUUCCCAAGACUCCUCUAAAGAUUCUGAUGCUAAAGAAGACAAUGAAACCUCGACUGAUCCUAACGAUCACGAAGACACUAGUCAAAACGAUGAGGAAGAUUCUGAUGCAUUUGAUGAUGUCCAAAACUUGGAGACAGCCAUUCUAGGAGGUUACGGUGUGGAGGUUCGGAUUUUCGUUUGCGGAAGCGGUGGCGGCGACUCUGAUGGUCGCAUGGUUUUUGCGAUUAGGGUUCUUUGUGUCUCCCGGUUUAACCGAUUUGGCAAUCUUUGGUUUUUGGUUUAAUUCUUAACUGGGCUUUAUGAGGAUUUGCGGUUUGGGAUUUUUUCCAGGUUUUUUAGUUUCUCCUUCUGGGCAUUUAGAUUUAAUUUUAAGUAUAUUUUUAAUUUUAAUUUUUUUAAAAAAAAAUCAAAAAAUCCAAAGACGUUUUAACAAAAAUAAUAAUAAUAAUAAUAGUUAUGGUAUUUUAAUUUUUAAACUUAUGUAGAAUCCCUAAGGCAUUGUGAUUAAUUAAGAUGAAGUAUGAAGAGAUACUUGUUUUGUAUUAGAAUCCAUUAUAAUCUCUUAAUAUUUUCUUGUAAAUUUGAGAAUCAUAACUUUCUUUAGACAAAACUAUGGUAUUAUUUUGAUGAAUUUAAAACAACACAAACAUCAAAGCUGAUCUGAAAUUGUUUUGAUUUAAAGAAAAAUCUACUAAAAAAAUUCUAAUGAAAUACACCCAAAAAUGUUUUUAAAAUAAAAUUAUGGAUUUUAACUUUCACCCGAGACUGAAGAACACCACCAUAACAUUUUGUACUUUUACCAUAUCCUUAUCUAAACUGAUUCUUCAGGAUAUUUGGGUUGCACGUCAAAGGCUAUGCAGUAUUAAAACCUCUAGCAACACCACGACAAAGUGUUGGAUGUCCAAUAUUUUUCUUUCACAUUGUUGUUGCUAAUAAAAAACAUGCAAACUAUAAAAAUUGUUAUUACCAACAUAACUCUCAUUUUUGUUUGCAAAUUAGUCACGAAAAUUCAUGUUUUUAAGUAUCUUGUGUUGAUAUAUUUAUAGAGAGAGAGAUAAAGCACUACUUUUUAUCAAGGCCAGGUUGUAAAUUUUGGUAGUGGUUCAUUAUAUUAACGAUGGUUUAUAAAUGACAGAUGAUGAUUAUUUUUACUAUAAAUAUCUAAGUAUAAAUUGAUAGAAUAUUUGUUGAUUUCGCAUAUAUUUAGAAUUUCAUUAGUCUACGUGCGACAUAUAACAAGACUUUUAAAACUGGGAAUAAAAGUUAAACCUUAAGUUUUGAGUUUUGGGUUUUUUUUUUUUUUUUAAAGUUAGCCUUUAAACAAUACACAGAUUUAGAAAUAUAGAAACGUAAUUGUAUAAUUGACCAAAAACUAGAGGAAUAUUAUAAAUUUGUUGGAAAAUAGUUAAACGUAAAUAAAAAUAUUUUGGGAUUUGAUUUUUUUACAUAAUUUAUUAUAUAAAAAUUAAGUUUUAUUAAUACAAAGUAUGUAUCCUAAACAAUAUUGAUAUAAAUCCAUACAAAGUCAUUCAUCCACACAAAUCUAUUCAAAAAUGCCGAAGAUGCAUAGCUUUUGGAUCUCUUUGGUGAUUAUCCUAAAGUUUUGGAUAUCCCCAACAAAUUCCAUUGUUUUCUAUAAACCUCACAAGACAACCUGAUUUUUAUUUGGUUGAGAUGUCGAUAUUUGGUGGAACAUACGUUGAAUAAGUGAAAGUGAGUUCAGCUUGAGAAUACUCUAAAAGAAACACAGAGACUUCUGUUUUUGUAGAAUCAUCAUCCUAGUAAACCUUGAACAAGCAAUCAAGUUGGCUAUUAUCAUCAACAACUUCAAAAAAUUACUAAAUAUGCCAAAUUUCUUCAAGAUUGGCUGCCUCUAUGUAGUUUUCAGAUAGUAUUGAACCAUAUCACGAAGAAGUCGAACUUCAUAUUCAACAAAGAUGGCAAACACCUGCCUUUGAUUCCAAAUCUAACAAAAAAGAUCCCAAACUCACCAAGAAAAGAAACUGAAGAAAAUGGAAUAUAUAUAUAUAUAUAUAUAUUGAUAAAAAGUGGAAUUUUAGCUGUGUGAACAUUGUACAAUCCACAAUCCUGAACAAGAGAAAUGCACCUGAAAGCUAAGUGGAAAGACAAUCCGCGAGUGGAAACUCUAGAUCAAAUGUUCAAUUUUUGGGAGAAGAUAAGCCAUGUUGGUUAAACCCUAG